rnacentral:rRNA from 1 species
UACGUAGGGUGCAAGCGUUAAUCGGAAUUACUGGGCGUAAAGCGUGCGCAGGCGGUUUUGUAAGUCUGUCGUGAAAUCCCCGGGCUCAACCUGGGAAUGGCGAUGGUGACUGCAAGGCUAGAGUUUGGCAGAGGGGGGUAGAAUUCCACGUGUAGCAGUGAAAUGCGUAGAUAUGUGGAGGAACACCGAUGGCGAAGGCAGCCCCCUGGGUCAAAACUGACGCUCAUGCACGAAAGCGUGGGGAGCAAACAGG